UUUUUUUUUGUUUUCUUUUUUUCUUAAAUGCGCGAAAUGUUUACAAAUAGAUGAUAUUUUCUUUUUCUAAUUCAUGAACAUUUUUGUUAAAUCUGAUGAACUUUAUUCCAAAUCCGAUGAACUUUUUUCAAAUUGGAUGAACUCUUUUUCCAAACUCGAUGAACUAUUUUCUAAACUCAAUGAACUCUUUUCAAAUUCGAUGAACUCUUUUCCAAACUUUUUUCAAAUUUGAUGAACUUUUUUCCAAAUCCGAUGAACUUUUUUCAAAUUUGAUGAACUUUUUUUCCAAAUACUAUGAACUUUUUUUAAAUCUGAUGAACUUUUUUCCAAAUCCGAUGAACUUUUUUCAAAUUCGAUGAACUCUUUUCCAAACUCGAUGAACUAUUUUCCAAAUUCGAUGAACUUUUGUCAAAUUUGAUAAACUUUUUUCAAAUCCGAUGAACUUUUUUCCAAAUCCGAUGAACUUUUUUCAAAUCCGAUGAACUUUUCUUGAAAAAAUAGUUACUUUUUUUCAAUUUCGAUGAAUGUUUUUCAAAUUCGAUGAACUAUUUUCAAGUUUGAUGAACAUUAAAUGAAAAUCCAUUAUUUUUUUUCAAUUUUGAUGAACGUUUUUCAAAACCAAUAAUUUUUUUUUCAAAUGUGAUGAACCUUAUUUGGUAAUAUGUGAACAUGUUUGCAAAUAAUUAGAAAAUAAAACACUACAGUGUAAUGAGUAGUAAAUUGCGCGUCUAGUUUCCAUUCUUUAAAAACAUUGCGCUGUGAUUAUUCACAAGCAGGAGGCUGGUCUAGUGGUUAGCCUUUCUUCUCUUCGGCGGCGCUGAAGGCACGCAAUAGGAGCUCCCGAAAAAUCGUGACCGGGCGGACCGCCCGGGUGUUUGAGGCCGGUUUGGGGCGACCGGCUGUAAAUCUAAUCCUGGCGAGCAGGGAAGGCCUGGCAUGCUCUAACGUACGCUCGUUGCGGCUGCUUCCACAACACCCAGGAUGUAAGCAGAGCACAAAAGAUUCAGAUCCACAGACGUUACUGCUUCCAAAACAUCCAUCCAUAGCUGACAAUUGGCUCAAGAGCAAAAGAAGAUAAAAGAAAGCAUACUCUGUUCAGUGUUCACAUCUUUUCCAGAAAGGGAGGUACUAUACAUCAGUAAUAAUUUCGAUUAACCAGUGCACCGAGCAACUCUUAACUAGUGCCACAACAUACCCAAAGAAGCACAAACGACAUUUCAUACUGUACACACAGACCCGGUUUUUGUACAAACAUUUCAUAUCGACUUGUAUAAGCAAAAACAAUCUACCCGAGAACUCAACUUUGAAUCUGUUGACCAAAACAUAAGGCUUUCGCUCUGGAAGCUGAGCCGAACUUGGAACAUCAUGUAUGGUGUCGAGCU
rnacentral:lncRNA from 1 species